rnacentral:tRNA from 1 species
GCCCCGGUGGCACAGCGGAUAGCGCGAUCCCCUCCUAAGGGAUAGGUCGGAGGUUCAAUUCCUCCCCGGGGCGCCA